AGAGUUUGAUCCUGGCUCAGAUUGAACGCUGGCGGCAGGCCUAACACAUGCAAGUCGAGCGGUAGAGAGAAGCUUGCUUCUCUUGAGAGCGGCGGACGGGUGAGUAAUGCCUAGGAAUCUGCCUGGUAGUGGGGGAUAACGUUCGGAAACGGACGCUAAUACCGCAUACGUCCUACGGGAGAAAGCAGGGGACCUUCGGGCCUUGCGCUAUCAGAUGAGCCUAGGUCGGAUUAGCUAGUUGGUGAGGUAAUGGCUCACCAAGGCGACGAUCCGUAACUGGUCUGAGAGGAUGAUCAGUCACACUGGAACUGAGACACGGUCCAGACUCCUACGGGAGGCAGCAGUGGGGAAUAUUGGACAAUGGGCGAAAGCCUGAUCCAGCCAUGCCGCGUGUGUGAAGAAGGUCUUCGGAUUGUAAAGCACUUUAAGUUGGGAGGAAGGGCAGUUGCCUAAUACGUAACUGUUUUGACGUUACCGACAGAAUAAGCACCGGCUAACUCUGUGCCAGCAGCCGCGGUAUACAGAGGGUGCAAGCGUUAAUCGGAAUUACUGGGCGUAAAGCGCGCGUAGGUGGUUUGUUAAGUUGGAUGUGAAAUCCCCGGGCUCAACCUGGGAACUGCAUUCAAAACUGACUGACUAGAGUAUGGUAGAGGGUGGUGGAAUUUCCUGUGUAGCGGUGAAAUGCGUAGAUAUAGGAAGGAACACCAGUGGCGAAGCGACCACCUGGACUAAUACUGAUACUGAGUGCGAAAGCGUGGGAGCAACAGAUUAGAUACCCUGGUAGUCCACGCCGUAAACGAUGUCACUAGCCGUUGGAAGCCUUGAGCUUUUAGUGGCGCAGCUAACGCAU
rnacentral:rRNA from 1 species